CACGUAGUUAGCCGUGACUUUCUAAGUAAUUACCGUCAAAUAAAGGCCAGUUACUACCUCUAUCUUUCUUCACUACCAACAGAGCUUUACGAGCCGAAACCCUUCUUCACUCACGCGGCGUUGCUCCAUCAGACUUUCGUCCAUUGUGGAAGAUUCCCUACUGCUGCCUCCCGUAGGAGUUUGGGCCAUGUCUCAGUCCCAAUGUGGCCGAUCAGUCUCUCAACUCGGCUAUGCAUCAUUGCCUUGGUAAGCCGUUACCUUACCAACUAGCUAAUGCACCGCAGGUCCAUCCAAGAGUGAUAGCAGAACCAUCUUUACAAACUCUAGACAUGCGUCUAGUGUUGUUAUCCGGUAUUAGCAUCUGUUCAGUGUUAUCCUAGUCUCUUGGGCUACGGUUACCACGUUGUUACUCCACCCGUCCGCCGCUCGCUUGUAUCUUAGUUUCUAUUUUAGUGCAAGACAACUAAAAU
rnacentral:rRNA from 1 species